rnacentral:rRNA from 1 species
AUUGAACGCUGGCGGCAGGCCUAACACAUGCAAGUCGAACGGUAACAGGAAGAAGCUUGCUUCUUUGCUGACGAGUGGCGGACGGGUGAGUCAUGUCUGGGAAACUGCCUGAUGGAGGGGGAUAACUACUGGAACCGGUAGCUAAUACCGCAUAACGUCGCAAGACCAAAGAGGGGGACCUUCGGGCCUUUUGCCAUCGGAUGUUCCCAGAUGGGAUUAGCUAGUAGGUGGGGUAACGGCUCACCUAGGCGACGAUCCCUAGCUGGUCUGAGAGGAUGACCAGCCACACUGGAACUGAGACACGGUCCAGACUCCUACGGGAGGCAGCAGUGGGGAAUAUUGCACAAUGGGCGCAAGCCUGAUGCAGCCAUGCCGCGUGUAUGAAGAAGGCCUUCGGGUUGUAAAGUACUUUCAGCGGGGAGGAAGGGAGUAAAGUUAAUACCUUUGCUCAUUGACGUUACCCGCAGAAGAAGCACCGGCUAACUCCGUG